CUACAAAACCUGAGGCAGAGUCUGGACUCACUCACGUGACUGUCUCUCCUCUCUCACAGGCUGCUGGCUCCUGCCCAGCUGAGCUCUUAGGAAGCACGUGUCCAAUACUGUCCAGGUCCACUGUUUUGGACUUCUGGUGAAGGUACCUGUUGGUAACAACCCAGAAGGAACAGCCGAGCAAACUGUUCACCUCGUAAUCAAGAAGCAAAGAGAAAAACCAGUAAGGCCCCUAAAUCUCUUCCAGGGUGUGCCUCAGAGACAGAAGGAAACCCCCACUAGGAGACGGAUGGGAACCUCAUCUCCUAAAAGUUCCACAGCCCCCAGGAACACCGCCCUGGUGACCAAUUCUUUAACACGGGGCCUGGAGGACCCUAACUGUGGCAAUGCCUCAGUCUCAAUGGGAGGAGUCAAGGGAAAGAACUCCAGAAUGACUUAUCCCCAAGGGGCACAAGAAGAAGAACGAGUACCCACUCCAUACCUGGGAGCACGGGUUAUCUUUUCCUCAGCUCCGGCUGCACACCCUGAGACCCUCAGACACCACACACCACCCUCAAAUUCCUAACACUGAGGCCUGUAGAGUCCAGGGGUCACCAUCCCUCUCUCUCUCUCCUUCCCUCCCUCCCUCCCUCCCUGUCACCGUUCCUCACACACAGGGCAAGCAUGAGAUCUGUCUGCUGUGCUCUUGUGGCCAGUCAUGGUGUUACAGGUAGCCCACCAGACAGGACCACUCAAAGUUUAUAGCCAACUGAGUCUUUAUUCCAGCCAGCUGGGACCAUGCCCAAGUGUUCAGAGACCUAGGUGUUGUCCUGAGUGUCCAGAACACAGGAUUUUGAAGGGCAGAGACCUCGUCCAGAAACCUGACUGGGCAGCUGCAGGGGACCUUCCACAGCGUGAGCAGUUUGAAGCCAGCAGUUUUAACAGAAGCUAAGAUAAGCGGUCAGCUGGCCCUCAGGGGCUUCUCCACAAACAGGCAACUAAGGGGAAUGGUUAGCUGGAGGAGGGUCCACACCAACGAGCAGUGUUAACAAAGGUUGAGAUAAGUUAGCUAGUGCAUCCUGACCUUUGGUUCCUGGAAUAGAGUUGGGUAAUUUUCCAUGGGAUUCUCCAUCCAGAGGAAAACCUGGAAACAGCUUGGGCAUGAAUACAAGAUGGAGGAACCUCCGCACUGGCUUGCCCUGUCACGGGAAAGAGUAGAGACUCUGAUCCAGAGUGAGGUGUGUUUUCUGCUUUAGCGCCUGUCCCUAUUACAGGGGCUCCAGGCAACAAGGCCCCGCAGAGGAAGGCCGAUUGCUCAAAGCAGGGCUGGCUGACCAAACUGAGCCAAGACCUCCCUCACCCUUCAGUUCUCAGGAAAGGACCACACGGAAGCCGCAGCCUGGGACAUGGAGGGUGAGGACCUAAAUGCCACAGAGAGACAGAAAGAUGAGGCCUGAAUGGAGGCCCGGGCUCCCUUGUGGCCAAGUAAACAUGCCACUCCUCCACGUGGACCAGAGCAGGCAACCUCAGUCAGCAUUAGCUCUCAGACAUGGCAGGACCUCAGGGAAACAGGAGUACAGCCUCUCCCACAGCAGGGGAAGGACACCGGUGACCAUGAUGGCCAGCAGGCGGGGGUUGGCCAAAAUACAAGAUUUGCUUGCCUGGGGCCUGGUGGGGAGGAAGACCCCCAUAGGUGCCAGCCUCCCUCGCCAGAUCCUCCCAGAGCAUCAGCCCGGCUCUCCCUUGGCCAGAAUCCUGGAGCAGUUCCCUCAACAGCGUCCAGGGGGCGCCCAUAUGCAGCAGCCCAGCCACUAUCCAGCCUGCCCGCUGUCUGUCUAUCCCCAACAGGAGAGGACCCGCUAAGAAACGGAUGCCUCUGCACUCGUGGGCCCUCUAAGAAGGGCCUGUGGGCUUGGUGAGUUUACUUUGCUGAGUAUGAUAUGGGGAAGAAGGAAUGCUUGUGGCUGUGUGUAGAUGUAAAUAUAGACACCAAGGUGACCAGACAGCUAGGCACCCAAGAAGUCCUGUGUGCCUGGGGGCCAGGUUAGGGGAGGAAUAAGCACGGAACUUUUUUUUUUUUUUUAAGACAGGACUUCUUUGUGUAGCCUUGCCUGUCCUGGAACUAGUUCUGUAGACCAGGCUGGCCUCGAACUCAGUGAUCUGCCUGUGUCUGCCCCCCAGAGUGCAGGAUUAAAAGAGUGUGCCACCAUUUCCCAGCCGGAACUUUUUCCUUAACACUUUGCAUUCUCUGUGCAAUCAGAAAAAUGCUAAGCCGGGCGGUGGUGGCACACGCCUUUAACCCCAGUGCUCAGGAGGCAGAGGCAGGCAGAUCUCUGUGAGUUCGAGGCCAACCUGGUCUACAAAGAGAGUUCCACGACAGCCAGGACACAAAGAAACCCUGUUUCAGAGAGAGAGAGAGAGAGAGAGAGAGAGAGAGAGAGAGAGAGAGAGAGAGAGGAAAACAUGUUUAAUCUGUCUUGACUUUUCCAUAUUAUAGGCUUCUACAAUCUCUUCUCUACCUCUCCCUUCUCUCCGUACGUCUUUUUGUGUCUCUGUCUGUAUGUCUGUCUGUCUCUAUUUCUUGCUAUCUCUUUGUGUCUCUCUGUAUGUCUAUAGCUCUGUCUUUCUGUGUGUGUGUGUGUGUGUGUGUGUGUGUGUGUGUGUGUGUGUGCCAGUAUGCACGCUGUAUAUUGUACAGGCCCAGGUAGGACCCUGUGUCCCCUCUGGGUUCUGAUGGUCAGAGUCACACAGGAACAGGGGAACAGUGGAAAAAGCUGAGACUCUGGGGGAAUGACGCUUCCUAUGGAAGUUUUCAGGUGAAACUCACCUCUAGAAAUGCAAGAGCCCCGAUACUCACGGCAGCCACACAGAAAUAGGCUAUAACCAAGAGCCUGUCCUUCACCAUGCCCGUGUGCAACAGGAAGCAGCUCUGUCCCAAAGCCCCUAAAUCGGAUACAAAAGGGAGGUUCCUGGAUUCUCUGCAGACCCCAUACCACCUGGCUCCAGGAGGAGGUUCUGCCCACAUGACCUCAUUCAAGAACCACAAAUCGAGAUCCAAGAAGCAUGAGCUCAUCACUGUAUGAACCAUAGACAGAUGCAGGCUAGCCAGGCAAGCUGGGCUACUAACAACUCCAUGGUCCUUUGGACUCCAAUCUACGCUGAACUUGCCCACCAAUGUGCAAGAGAAGUGCAAGGACCCCCACACACACACACAACAGAGUCCCCCACCCCCACCCCCAGCAGCCACUAGGAUAAGAAGAAGGCAAAGAAAAGCCUAGACCAGGCCUGUCUAUCCAUGCCUGAGGCCAACUGGGAGAAGCCAGAAGGCAGUGCUGACUUCCACAUUCCCCCUACCCACCAUGCCUUUGUCUAGAGAUGGGUCUCUGCAUCGUCCCCUUGGGGCUUGUGACUUUCUUACUACCCACAGAGUAUGACAGAAAUGAAGGACCAUGACUCCAAAAGUCAGUCAGAAAAGGCAGUGGAACAGGCACUCACCCUUGAAGUGCUCAGACACCAAGCAAGUUAUUUGACUAGGUCGAGGCCAUCAUGCUGAGAGGGACCACCUACGAUAAAGAGGACACAUGGAUAAAAGUCAGGGCAUGGCAUCGCCUGAACACCACUUGAAAAGGCAGAUCCAGGCAGAGAGGGGUCGCUGAUUCUUUUGGAGAAAAACUCUCGCGGAUUGCAAAACGUCGGCACAGAACUCCUGUCUCACUGAACAAUGCUGUUCCUUUCGGUUUCCUGUUCUACGUGUCAUCAGCACUGUGUGGUCCAAACAACUGGAGCUCAGGGAGGCCGGAGGCUCGUUCGUGGUGGUCCAUGGAAUGGGCUCCAAAGGGCAUCUGCCUGGCCCUGCUGCGAGCACAGGCACAGGGUCGUCGGAGUGCGAGGUCUGCUGUGAGUCCCCCAUGUUGCUGUGUGACCCAGCAGGCAUCUUGGGUUGCUGGUGAAGAGACUCUGCCCACUUGGUGAGGGGGAAUUCCAGGUGGGACCACCCUGUCUGCAUUCUCCCUGACUCCAGUCUGUGCUGCCUGGACUGGAGGAAAGAGUCUGUGUAUACUUCACCCUACACCGAUCCAGGGGCUGGCAGUGAAUAAAAAGCUCGCGUUGACAACAUCCAUCCAUCCAUCCAUCCAUCCAUCCAUCCAUCCAUCCAUCCAUCCAUUUCUGGAAGAGCUGGGGGAAAGAGAGUCAUGGCCAAUUGUAUUUCCCAAAAUGACUGAAAGAGAUCUUCCAUCCCCACAUUUUUAACGCUUCUCUUACAAGACAUUCCAACCCAUUUCCCACCCAGUCAGCACUGGGUCUCUGCCUCAUCUACAGCCUGGUGGGUCUGUGACUUCUGAAGUGAAGCCAUACGGCAAGCCAGGCAGAAAGCUGACUCCAUUUCUGCCUGGCUGCUGGGCAUACUUGUGCUUGUACCCAGUCACCGCGCUGGGAGGACACCCAAGACACACGUGGAGAUGGCGCGUGCCGGUCGGUGUUCCAGCUGCUGCACCAGAUGUGCUUAACCUCCACCACCGCUGGCUGCAGUCCCUAAAGCAGAGUGCCUUGCCUGAACCCAGUGCACCCCAAGGCCCCUGAGAGAACGCUAAGAACAAGCGCUGUUCGAAGCCACGGUGUUUCAGAACGACCCGUUGCUCAGUAGCAGACACCCAGAACAGAAGUGCCCUCUAUGCACCAGGGUUAAAAAGAGUUGGGAUCCAAACGAACAAGGAAACCAAAGCCCCAGUUUCAGAAAUGGUGGAAGGAACUUUGGGGAAGCUUCCAGGGUAUCCAGGAUAGGCACAGGGGAUGGAAUAAAAGCCCCAGGUUUGGGCUGCUAAAUGAGGGUCCAAAAGCCCACCCAGUGCCCCCCACCCCAGCAACACAUGCCUGCCUAUUACACCAUGGCUGGGAGUGAAUAGAUAAGCCACCCACAGAAGCAUCAGAGACCUCAGUCCCGGGUGAGCACUUCAUGAAGUCAUCUCAGAUAGCUAAGGAAAGCUCGCCACAAAAUAGAGAUCAAGUUCAAACAAUAAAAUACCAAGAAAGCGGUGUUAUAUGAGAAAGAAAUUGGCUUUCAGAACAAGUAUAAUUAAUACAUUUAUAGAGAUCAAGACCAGGCAAAAAAGAACCAAAGCUCUUUAAGACUAGACAGGUCUUUGUCACUCUUCUGUUGCUGUGACAAUACACCAAGGCAACUUACAAAAUAAAGUGUUUAAUUGGGCUAUGGUUUCAGAGGGUUCAAGUCCAUGAAGGCAGAGCGAAGGCCUAGCAGCAGAACAGCAGAGCGCUCACAUCUGCAGAGUACACUGGGAAUGGCGUAAAUCUUCUGAAACCUCAAAGCCCACCCCCAGUGACACACUUUCUCCCACAAGGUUACACCUCCUAAUCUUUCCCAGACAGUUUCACCAACUGGGGACCAAGUAUUUAAACACAUUUGCCUAUGGGAGCCAUUCUCCUCCAAACCACCAUAACUUAUGAUUGUCAAAACCAUCCAAUAGGAAGGAGAUCAAGAGUUAGAAAAGCAUGAGAAGAAACAGUAGAAGAAAAGACUAUCAAAAACUUAUUACCCAAAGGCUUAAGAAGACAUAGUAAACUUGGGAAGAUCAUUAGAAAAAUAUUUAGCAUAGAAAAUAAAAGCACUAAAAAAAAAAGUCCCCAGGCUUAGGUGAACUAGCUUAAAGCAUAUGACAGUCCAGAAAGUGAACCAAUCUGUGGUGUAAGAACAGCAGAGAUUGAUACCCAAACCAGAGGACCCCACACUGAUGAUCAGAUGCAAAUACUCUAACGUGCAGUCUCUCUGCCUACUAAGCAAAGUUGUUGUAAAUUCAGAUGUGCUGAUACACCCCUAUAAUCUCACCAAUUGGGAGGCUGAGUGAGUAUUGCAAAUUCUAUGCUAGCCUGGGCUACAGAGCAAUACCAGGUCUCAAGGAAGG